rnacentral:sRNA from 1 species
AUAUCCUCCCUUCCAGUUUCACUUUAAGAUGUCUUCUAGUGGGACAUAGUUAGAGGUAAAGGGACAAAAGGAAGUAGAAUGACAAUAAACACAUGGCUGAGAAAUCAGGAAGGAGCCAAAUUGUGGCCAGUUUUCUAUAUUAAAUCUGACCCUGAAACUUGUCUUGGUAGGUGGGUUCUGUUAACCAGACUCCGAGUCCACUUACCCCACCAGCUACAUGGAAGGUCUCAGGCCUGCCCCACAAACUGUGUCCCUGGCAGAACACAGAGUUCCAGAGCAGGACAGAAAUGACUGGCUUCCAGGCUGCCCCGACAAGGCAGUUCCUGAGCCCUGCCCAGAUUCUGUAUUUAUUUGAGCUGCCCAGCCCAGGCCUGCAGGAUAGGGCCCCACUCCAUCAAGGCUCCUGUUUCCUCCUGAGCCCGAGCAGAUGAUACCUUCUCUUAUAGCCUCCAUCCUUCUUCCCAGAACACUCCAGUGCUUUUGGAGCCAAUUAUUCCUCACAGCCUCUGGAUGAGAGUUGGCCAAGGCAGCAGCCUCCUUGGAAAG